AACGAACGCUGGCGGCAGGCUUAACACAUGCAAGUCGAACGGGUGUAGCAAUACAUCAGUGGCAGACGGGUGAGUAACACGUGGGAACCUUCCUAGGGGUACGGAACAACUCAGGGAAACUUGAGCUAAUACCGUAUACGUCCGUGAGGAGAAAGAGUCAUCGCCCUUAGACGGGCCCGCGUCGGAUUAGCCAGUUGGUGGGGUAACGGGCUACCAAGGCGACGAUCCGUAGCUGAUCUUAGAGGAUGAUCAGCCACACUGGGACUGAGACACGGCCCAGACUCCUACGGGAGGCAGCAGUGGGGAAUCUUGGACAAUGGGCGCAAGCCUGAUCCAGCCAUGCCGCGUGAGUGAAGAAGGCCUUAGGGUUGUAAAGCUCUUUUACCAGGGACGAUAAUGACGGUACCUGGAGAAUAAGCCCCGGCAAACUUCGUGCCAGCCGCCGCGGUAACAC
rnacentral:rRNA from 1 species